UACAGAGGUCCCAAGCGUUGUUCGGAUUCAUUGGGCGUAAAGGGCGCGUAGGCGGUCAGCACAAGUCAGUUGUGAAAUCUCCGGGCUUAACUCGGAAAGGUCAACUGAUACUGUGCGACUAGAGUGCAGAAGGGGCAACUGGAAUUCUCGGUGUAGCGGUGAAAUGCGUAGAUAUCGAGAGGAACACCUGCGGCGAAGGCGGGUUGCUGGGCUGACACUGACGCUGAUGCGCGAAAGCCAGGGGAGCGAACGGG
rnacentral:rRNA from 1 species